CUAUACAUGCAGUCGAGCGGAGAGAAGGGAGCUUGCUCCCAGAUGUUAGCGGCGGACGGGUGAGUAACACGUGGGUAACCUGCCUGUAAGACUGUGAUAACUCCGGGAAACCGGAGCGAAUACCGGAUAGUUCCUUGAACCGCAUGGUUCAAGGAUGAAAGACGGUUUCGGCUGUCACUUACAGAUGGACCCGCGGCGCAUUAGCUAGUUGGUGGGGUAAUGGCUCACCAAGGCGACGAUGCGUAGCCGACCUGAGAGGGUGAUCGGCCACACUGGGACUGAGACACGGCCCAGACUCCUACGGGAGGCAGCAGUAGGGAAUCUUCCGCAAUGGACGAAAGUCUGACGGAGCAACGCCGCGUGAGUGAUGAAGGUUUUCGGAUCGUAAAGCUCUGUUGUUAGGGAAGAACAAGUGCGAGAGUAACUGCUCGCACCUUGACGGUACCUAACCAGAAAGCCACGGCUAACUACGUGCCAGCAGCCGCGGUAAUACGUAGGUGGCAAGCGUUGUCCGGAAAUUAUUGGGGCGUAAAGGGCUCGCAGGCGGGUUUCUUAAGUCUGAAUGUGAAAGCCCCCCGGCUCAACCGGGGGAGGGUCAUUGGAAACUGGGAAACUUG
rnacentral:rRNA from 1 species